GUCCGCUCAGAGAAGUCCCCAUUUUCAGUCCGUUUCGAACCAGCUGGUUGGGGGGCAGCCAUGGAAGAUCUGCAUUCAUUGUUAGACAUGCGUGGGGGGCCGUCGAUUUUUGUUUGGGAGGUGCGCUGCAAAUCCAGCCGCACUUUUAGUCUUCGUCUCACAGAUUUGUGGUCGGGAGAUUUCCCAUCCUUUCUACAGCCUUCGACUCAGACUUCCAUCUUUCUUGCUUGCGAAUUUUUGCAUCCUUUGUCUUCAGGUAUGCAUCCCGUCAACUUUUUAACAGAUCUUUUGGUCUUCAUUUCAUGAAUUUGAUUGUUGGCUGGGAGAUUUUUCGUCCUUUGUAGAGCGUGGGUGUGAGCCAUGUUCUAUCUUUAGGGUAUUUUUUAUUUAUUUUUUACGAAUUUGGGUUCAUUUAUUUGUUUAUUUUGAUUUCAGGUUCUUGGGUAAUCCCUAAUGCUUUAUUUAUUUAUUUAUUACGAUCUACCAGUUUAACGGAUUAAUGAUUUGCUGAUGGGUUUCUGAGCAUACUGUCGAAUCCUUUGAUUCCUUGACCAAAUUGAUUAUGCUGCUGUGAUGAUCUGUUGUAGUCAAUAUUGUUGUUGUGGGAAAGUAAGCAUGCCAAUUUCAACAAUUUGUAAUGAUCUUGCUGCUGUAAUGGGUUGUUAAUUUGUUGUUGGAUUGAUAGGAUUAGAUGAUUACAAUAUCUGAGCAUGUUGGUGAUUACAAUAUCUUGGACAUGGUUUUCUUUUGUUUGUUGUAAAAUAAAACAUAAGCAGAAAGCCAUGUUCAACAAACAUCAAUUUUCUAGGGUUAGGGUUUUCGUUUCAUUCUCAGAUGAUUUGAUGGGCAACACGAUUUGUUCAGG
rnacentral:lncRNA from 1 species